AAAGGUAAAAUUAAAUUAUUAAAUAUAAAUAAAUAAAAUUUAUUGAAGCUAAUAAAUUUUAAAUUUAAACUAGGAUUAGAUACCCUAUUAUAUUAAAUUGAGAAGAAAAAAACUUAAUUAUUAAGAGGUAUAUACUUGAAAUUUUAAGAAUUUGGCGGUUUUUUAGUUUAGUUAGAGGAACCUGUUUUAUAAUCGAUAAACCACGGAAAAUCUUACUUUAAUUUGUAUACCGUCAUUAAUAGAUGAUUUUUAUAGAAAUAAUUAUUGGAGUUAAUUAAAAUUAAGUAUAUUAGAUCAAGGUGCAGUUUAUAAAAAAGUAAAAAUGGGUUACAAUAAAUUAUAUUUAUAUGGAUUUUUGUUUAUGAAAAGGGAUUUAAUUGUAUUAAAAUUUAAUAAGAUUUAAAGAUAUAAACUCUAAAUUAUGUACAUAUCGCCCGUCACUUUC
rnacentral:rRNA from 1 species